rnacentral:rRNA from 1 species
ACUCCUACGGGAGGCAGCAGUGGGGAAUAUUGCACAAUGGGGGAAACCCUGAUGCAGCCAUGCCGCGUGUGUGAAGAAGGCCUUCGGGUUGUAAAGCACUUUCAGUAGGGAGGAAGGUAGUGUAGUUAACACCUGCAUUAUUUGACGUUACCUACAGAAGAAGCACCGGCUAAACUCCGUGCCAGCAGCCGCGGUAAUACGGAGGGUGCGAGCGUUAAUCGGAAUUACUGGGCGUAAAGCGCAUGCAGGCGGCCUGUUAAGUCAGAUGUGAAAGCCCGGGGCUUAACCUCGGAAUUGCAUUUGAAACUGGCAGGCUAGAGUCUUGUAGAGGGGGGUAGAAUUUCAGGUGUAGCGGUGAAAUGCGUAGAGAUCUGAAGGAUACCAGUGGCGAAGGCGGCCCCCUGGACAAAGACUGACGCUCAGAUGCGAAAGCGUGGGGGAGCAAACAGGAUUAGAUA